GAUAGGUGAGACCCUGGAAUGCUCUCCCUUGCUCAUCUCUGUCACAAAAACUCCCCUACCUGGGGAUAUUCCUGAGGCACCUCUUCUCUGCUACAGCUGCACACCCUCAGAACUGGUGAAACCGUGGGACCACCUCCAUCCCUGUCACUUACCACUGCUCUCCUGAAACAAGUGACACCCAGGACUGCCCCCCUCAUCCAUGUUCCUGACAGCUCUUCCAACACAUCCUUGGGACAAUUGAGACCCUGAGAUAUCUUCUCCACAUAGCUGUCACAAAUACACUAGAUAUCUCCGAAACACCCACCAGGACAGGUGGCACUUUGGGACAGCCCCUCACUCCAGGACAGGAUUCAUGCACCCUCCCACCAUCACCUCAAGCACCCUGUAUGCAGCAAUAAUGUGAACAAUCUAUAGUAUUGAUGUCUCCUACUCUAGAUUUGGUGCCCAGUCUAAGAGGCAUUAACCAGCUCAUUCAGUGAGAAGGCCCUUCAUAGGACUACACCUCUACCCCGAUAUAACACAAAUUCGGAUAUAACACAGUAAAGCAGCGCUCCGGAGGGGCGUGGCUGUGUGCUCUGGUGGCUCAAAGAAAGUUUGAUAUAACACGGUUUCACCUAUAACGCGAAAUUACUGUUCUGAGAGACAUGUUGCAAUACCACUCUUGUUUUUGAAUACCUGAAUUUGUUUGGAGGCAGACGUAUAAUAUGGGAGUUCUCCAUUCAUCAUGUUGUGUCACCAGCGGUGGCUGAGCUGAAAUUUCCUGCAUCUUGGGGAGAGCAUGUAUAAAAGGAAUGGCCUCAUGGCCAAUGUGACCGUCACCUCCGCCACUCCAGAGGAUAGUAGCAGCUCUGACUCUCUGGAAGGAAGGAGUUCAGAUUAUGCCAAUAAAAGCUAUGAUGCGGUUGUAUUUGAUGUAUUGAAAGUAACUCCUGAGGAGUUUGCAAGCCAGAUUACAUUAAUGGAUAUGCCAGUAUUUAAAGCUAUACAGCCAGAGGAACUAGCCAGCUGUGGAUGGAAUAAGAAAGAAAAACACAUCCUUGCCGCUAAUAUUGUUGCCUUUACAAGGAGGUUUAAUCAGGUCAGUUUCUGGGUUGUACGAGAAAUUUUAACAGCACAGACCUUAAAAAUAAGGGCAGAAAUAUUGAGCCAUUUUGUGAAAAUAGCUAAGAAACUUCUAGAACUGAACAAUCUACAUUCCCUCAUGGCUGUGGUAUCAGCAUUACAAAGCGCACCUAUUUUCAGGCUGACGAAAACUUGGGCUCUUCUGAAUCGCAAAGACAAGACCACCUUUGAGAAGUUAGACUAUUUAAUGUCUAAGGAAGAUAAUUAUAAGAGGACACGGGAGUACAUCAGAAGCUUAAAGAUGGUCCCUACUAUUCCCUAUUUAGGAAUAUAUCUCUUGGAUUUAAUCUACAUUGAUUCUGCAUAUCCUGCAUCUGGCAGCAUCAUGGAAAAUGAACAAAGAUCCAAUCAAAUGAACAAUAUCCUCCGAAUAAUAGCUGAUUUGCAAGUCUCCUGUAGCUAUGAUCAUCUCAUAACUUUACCCCAUGUGCAAAAGUACUUAAAGUCUGUCCGCUACAUUGAGGAACUUCAAAAGUUUGUGGAAGAUGACAACUAUAAAUUAUCCUUAAGAAUUGAGCCAGGAAGCAGCUCUCCUCGACUAGUCUCCUCCAAGGAAGAUCUUGCAGGUCCAUCAGAGGUGUCAGCAACUGUGAGGUUCAGCAGGAGACCAACUUGUCCUGAUGCCUCAAUGGCAGCCAGCCUCCCAACCCCUCCUGUACCAAGACACAGGAAGAGUCACAGCCUGGGAAACAAUAUGAUGUGUCAAUUCAGUGUGGUUGAAAGUAAAAGUGCAACGUUUCCAACAGAGAAGCCGCGCCACCUGCUGGAUGACAGUGUCCUAGAAUCCCACAGUCCUGUCAGAAACCACACUCUAAACUCAGUUUUCACCAAUGGAAUUUCCAUAGGAAGUAGUGAAAGUUCAGAAUUUAGUGAGGAGCUGUCUUCAGGGCUUGAAAGGGGUCGGCUGUAUGCCACGCUGGGGCCUAACUGGCGGGUACCAAUUCGGAAUUCUCCCAGAAGUCGAAGCUGUGUCUACAGCCCAACAGGGGCCUGGAGCUGCACAUUAGGGAGUUCAACAGGAGUCAUUACCAUGGAAGGGCCUUUAAGAAGGAAGACGUUACUAAAGGAAGGCAGAAAGCCUACACUCUCCUCAUGGACUAGAUAUUGGGUUACACUUUCAGGAUCAACUCUUCUCUACUUUGGAGCAAAGUCAUUAAGAGGCACAGAAAGAAAACAUUAUAAAUCUACUGCUGGUAAAAAAGUCUCUGUUGUGGGCUGGAUGGUGGCACUGCCUGAUGAUCCUGAACAUCCUGAUAUUUUUCAGCUAAAUAACCCUGACAAAGAUUUUAACCAUCAUCACUCAGCAGACACUUCAAAUGUUCAAAAAGGUCCUAGCAUCAAUGUGCAUCAUGAGGGUCUCUACAGAAAACUUUGAAGUUAGGUAUAUCUCCAAUUAUUAUUAUUUAUCUCCUAAAACUAGAAGGGAUCUUGAAAGGUCAUAAAGUCCAGCUCCCUGCCUUCACUAGCAGGGCCAAGUACUGAUUUUUGCCUCAGAUCCCUAAGUGGCCCCCUCAAGGAUUGAACUCACAACCCUGGGUUUAGCAGGCUAAUGCUCAAACCACUGAGCUAUUCCUCCCGCCCGUUCUCCUAACAUUUAAUGUCUUUCUUUAUUUUAAUGAGAGGCAGUGAUGAACAUGAGCUGCACAUGCUGCAACUCUCUCCUGUAGAAUACAAUGAAUGAAAUGUAAGUCUGACUUCAAGAGAAAAUUCAGGGAAGGACAAUGCUAACCUGAGGAAUGAAAGAGACCAACAAGCGGAUGCUGAAAAAGCUAAAUUUGCAAGUAAUAGUGCAUCCAUUAAAAUGAUUCAGGGGUGAGGUAUAUAAACACUAGUGGGAAUGAAGCAAAGUAUAAAAUGAAGGAGGUUGGAGUGGAUGCCCAGAUUGGUCUUACUGUCUUUGGUUCUAUGACAGUUUAUUUUUACUGCCGUGUGCUCCUCUCAGGUCUAUUGAAUAUGCACACUAUCUUCUACCUCCUACCUGGGGGGUGCUGGGCACAUAUUCCUCAUAGCCUAUCCUUCCUGCCAGGGAAUGCUGUAUGAGGUAGGAGCAGGUUGGGUUUUUUAGGACCAAAUUAAUUUUCCCAUUUACGUUACACUCUUGGCUUCUACACUAAAAGAUUAGAAUGUAGCAAAGCCAAGUGUCUGUCUGUCUCAAAACCUGAGAGAUCCUGAUUUUUUUUUUAAUUUUGUAGGCAAUAUUUACAAGUUUCAGACUGGGUCAAGGUUUCAUGCAAUAUUGUGGCACAAGCAUUUGGAUGAUGCAUGCAAAAGCAACAGGCCUCAGGUACCUGCUAACCUUAUGUCAUUCGAAUAACUUGCAUCAGUAUGUGGUGUGACUUCAAAUGCCAAACUGUAGGAUGGGAAUAUCUUUCCCUUAAGAGAAGGAGCUCCCUAAUGUGAGCCAGCUGCCCCAGACGAGAUUACUUCAGCACUUUUCUAUGUAACUUGAAAGUGAUUUUGACACAGCUUUUAAAAGCAGAAAGUGAAUGUUGUCCUUAGGACCAGAUAUAGUCUUAUGCACUGAACAUAAGUAGACAAUUUCGACAGACUGAAGAUGAGUCCUGACUGAUGCAGGAUCCUGGAAACCUUGACUUUAACUUUGUGGUCACAAACUGCCCUGGACUAAUGUUUGACCACAAACUGUGCAUCACAUCUUCUGCCUAUUCUUUUUUAAACUGUUCUUUUUAUUGUUAAGCUGCUUUAUGUGAUUGAAGAAAAUUUAGCCCAUGUUGGGUUUUCAAUUCUUUCUAAUGCACAAAAUGAUUGACAGUGUUAACUUGCUGCAAAGUGUCAAUUAGAAUAGAAAAUUGUGGAACAACAUUUUUAUAACCUAAGUGCACUGAGUUGCUUGGCAAUGUGGUUGCCUCAGAUUUUGUAUCAAAUUAAAUCUCUGGACAAUUCUGCAGUUCACAUUUGAGCUAUUUGGGAAAUGUGUAUUUUGGCACAAGAUAAAUAGCUUAAUUUAGUAUUUCUUUCAUUUGAAUGUGCUACUUCUAAAUAUAACUUAAAAGGACAAGUGAAGGGUCCAUUGCUAUUUAAAUUCACUUUGUGUUACAGCUUGUCUUGGGUUAUUCUUAAGGAUAAAUUGCCCCCCCCCCCCACCCUUCACUAUGGGUGCUAUUCAUCUAAAAUCCCUAGCUCCGUGGAGAUAUUUGGAUCUUCCCCGCCACCUCCUGACUCCUCAGAAUGGCUAAACUUUCCACUCAUUGUUCCACUCAUGUGGAUGACCCAAUCCCACUCAGCACCUGCAUGUGCACACACAUCACCUGG